CAUCCUUUCACCAUUAUUAUCUCUCAAGAGCACAAUAAUAAUAACCUCUUAUUAUUAAUUUCUUUUUCCUUUCUAAUAAUUUGUAACGGUGGAAUGACAACUAUCACUAAGGUCCCAAAAUGUUUAUUUGUUUUGUUGAUGGUCCUAAACUGUGUUGUUAUCAUAGCCCGUCCAUUGAAUAUAAUUGAGACAAGUUCUUCACACAAGUUGAGCAACGCCCCACUUUCACUUGGAGGGAUUAAGGACUCAGGUCCUAGCGGUGGAGGCAUAGGACACAAGGCCACAAACCUUCACAACCUUUCAAUUGGGGGCAUCAAAAACUCAGGUCCAAGUUCAGGAGGGAAAGGUCACUAAUAUAUAUAAUCUUAGAGAAAUGCUAGAAAAUUAUCAAAAUAUAUUGUUUUCUGUCAUCACUAUUAGUCGUCAAUUCAAUUCAAUUCCUUUAGUUUAGUAAUUCAAUAACAUAAUUUAGUCUAUAUUUUUAAACAUUAAUAGUUGAUAAUUUAUAGUUAAAAACAAUAAAUUUUGAUAGUUGUCUAGUAUUUUUUUUAUAUGCAUCAUUAUGCACUUUUUUUUAUAUAUUUUAUUUUUUAUAAUAUACAAAAAUACAAGCAAUAUAUAUGUAUGUAUGUAUAUAUAGUACUCUAUUCCGUUCUAGCUUAGCUUUAAUUUCAUUAUAUAUAUUGAUGCUCUGUUGUGUAUUUUUUUUUUUUAAUUAUUAUUCGUGAUGUAAUAUUAUUAAAGUUUCAAAUUCAAUAUAAUAGUCUGAU
rnacentral:lncRNA from 1 species